rnacentral:lncRNA from 1 species
GAAGGACAAGAGGAUACCUCUACUCCUGGUGAGAAAGCUGAUGGAGAAAGAGUCCAGGCUGGGCUAAGUCUCUGAUUAGGGCUCAGAAUUGGAAACAGGUGGGUUGCAUUGUAGGCACAGCUGUGUCUGCUCAGUUGUUGUCAAGUCUAAGUCAGUAGGAGGAGGAGAUGAGCGAGACGUGGAGAGGGAAGCCAAUGGUGGAGCUUAAAGAGUCUAGAAGGCGAUGUGGGCCAUCCGUUCUCUAAGAAAUUGGAGCCGAAGUCCUGCUGAUGAGGAAAACAACUGUGGACUUCUCAGUGCCUUUCCAGGCCCGGCUGGUAUGAAGACUGAGCCUAACACCUUUGCAAAGUGGCAUUUGAGUGAUUUAUAAUGAAGACAAACCUAAGGUAGGAGUUUUUUCCUUGUUUUCCUUACUCAGUUCUUCCUGUGUAAAAAAAAUAAAAUAAAAUAAAAUGGCGUGUUUCCUAAUGAUACUAACUUAAGAGGGAGUGAUUUCUAGCAUAUUGCACACAUGGGU